CUCCCCUAAUGUGAUGAAGUUGCUCUAAAAAUGGCAAUUCGGCUCCUAUGACGAUUGUUCCGUCGAAGAUUCCAACUUGGGGCUACUUCUUCAGGCAAAGUUCUCGGAGAGCAACUCAGGGCUUUGGAGCUCCGGUGGCUCGGUCUUUUUCGAGUAGAGACUCGUUAGAUCUUAGCCAAGUUCCAUCGAAUGCGGACACCACUAAUCACAUAAGGCGCAAUAAUUUAUUAUCUCCCUUGACCUAAUUUUAG